UGAAGCUGAAACUCCAAUAUUUUGGCCACCUGAUGCGAAGAACUGACUCACAGGAAAAGACUCUGAUGCUGGGAAAGAUUGAAGUUUCUAAUGUUUUAACUGAAUUUCCUAAGGUGGACUGUGUUUAUGAACAAUUAAGCCCCAUCUGUGUUGCUGUUGUCCCUGUCUUUCCUCCAUGGGGCCACCUGUUCAAUCCCUGGUCCAGAAGAUCCCACAUGCCAUGGAACAAGUGAGCUUGUGCACCGCAGCUACUGAGCCCGAGCACCAGAGCCAGCAGGCCGCAGCUGCUGAAACCUGUGGGCCCAAAGCCCGUACUCGGCAACGAGAGAAGCCAUGGCAGGGAGAAGGCCUCACUGCGACUGGGGAGCAGCCCCUCUUGCUGCAACAGGAGAAAAGCCCGUGCAGCAACUAAGACUUGGUACAGCCAACAUGAAAAUAAUAAUACAUGAACUUUAAAAAUACG
ensembl:lncRNA